rnacentral:rRNA from 1 species
UACGGAAGGCAGCAGUGGGGAAUAUUGCACAAUGGGCGAAAGCCUGAUGCAGCUAUGCCGCGUGUAUGAAGAAGGCCUUAGGGUUGUAAAGUACUUUCAUCGGGGAGGAAAAACAAAACUAAUAAUUUUAUUUCUUGACGUUACCCGAAAAAGAAGCACCGGCUAACUCCGUGCCAGCAGCCGCGGUAAUACGGAGGGUGCUAGCGUUAAUCAGAAUUACUGGGCGUAAAGAGCACGUAGGUGGUUUUUUUAAGUCAGAUGUGAAAUCCCUGGGCUUAACCUAGGAACUGCAUUUUGAAACUGAAAUACUAGAGUAUCGUAGAGGGAGGUAGAAUUCUAGGUGUAGCGGUGAAAUGCGUAGAUAUCUGGAGGAAUACCUGUGGCGAAAGCGGCCUCCUAAACGAAUACUGACACUGAGGGUGCGAAAGCGUGGGGAGCGAAACAGGGAUUAGAUACC